UUACAUUUAACGUUACUAUGCUCCUGAGGCUGAAUGUAACAGGGUUUUCCUGCGUUAUGAUUUUUUUCCCAGCCGAUAAGCAAGUGAUAUUGCAAGCGAGGUGCCGGAACAAAUCGUAUGAUGUUUAUCUAGGCUAACGCUCAACACUUUAAAAGCUAACGUUACGUUAACUUUCAGAGGUGGAGGUCUUGAGUUACGUUACUACACUCUAAAUAAAGAAAAUUAAGUUACAUGACAUUGACUUCGAGUCUUGAGAACGAAUAUUCUAAAGUCUCGAACCGCAUGCCUUGAUAAUGACUUGUUUUUUGGGGGUUUAAACAUUUUACCUGUUUUUAGUUUAUAAUUUUCCAGCUGGGCUGGUUGUGAUAAAAGGCAGUGUAACAGGACGAAAAGGCAGGGAGAUAUUCAGUAUUUUUCUGCAAAGAAAAAGCCAUGCCAGCCAGUGAGGGAGAGUCCGCGUGAUGGUUUAACGUUACACACAGUGAGUUCAGAGCCUGCCUGCUCAACAGGAGACCUCUUGGUUCAGGAAGAUUUGAGCAUAAAUCAGAACAGCCCUGUACACCCAGCUGUCUCUAGGGAUGAAACAGAUGAGAGUGAAAGUGAUGUGAAAGAGAUGGAUACUUGUCACCCACCUUCAGAAGUGUAAUCUGAGCUUCCACUUACUUCUGAUACUGCUCUUACUGGACCUGAUGGCCGUUAUUGUGUCAUGACUCAGUCGAUGUGAAAAGAGGAAAUGAGAAACACAGGAAGAGUUACAAAUGUUCUCAUGAAGAAAUAUAAGUAGAUGAUGAGAAGAGACUCAGUAAGAGAAACACAACAUGACUGAGAAGAGUGAUAUAUGUCUGCUGGGACUGAUCCUUCUCUCUUCACUAUUCACAGGUAAACUAUACAACACAUUUAUUUCAUCACAUUUCAUUUCAUUACUCUCACUGACAUUCUGACAAACAUGUUCAGUUUCAUCUCAUGUCACAUUUAUCAUAGAGUUCAUGUGUCUUAUUCUCACAUUCAAAAGUCUGAUGUCAAGAGCGAUGAUAGAGGAACUAGAUCACAUGAUUUACUGUCAAAUCUUCUGAUUUAUAUGAUGUAAAAAUAAUCAAAAUCUAUCUGUCAUUAAAGCAAUAAGC